rnacentral:rRNA from 1 species
CUGACUGUGCAAAGGUAGCAUAAUCAGUUGGCUUUUAAUUUAAGUCUGGCAUGAAUGAAAAUAUGGGUAGUAACUGUCUUAACACAUUUAUUUGAAAUUAUUAAACAAGUGCAAAUACUUGUAGUAAAACAACAGACGAGAAGACCCUAGAAACUUGCGUUCAGUUUUGUUGGGGCGACAGAGUUACAUUUAACUAACUUUAUAAUACAUGGCAUGAGGUUGUAAGAAUAAGUUACUCUAGGGAUAACAGCAUAAUUUUACUAGUUUGUGACCUCGAUGUUGGACUAGGUACUAUACCCUUAAGACAGGGGUAU